rnacentral:rRNA from 1 species
GUGCCAGCCGCCGCGGUAAUACGUAGGGGGCAAGCGUUGUCCGGAAUUAUUGGGCGUAAAGCGCGCGCAGGCGGCUUCUUAAGUCAGGUGUGAAAGCCCACGGCUCAACCGUGGAGGGCCACUUGAAACUGGGAAGCUUGAGUGCAGGAGAGGAGAGCGGAAUUCCACGUGUAGCGGUGAAAUGCGUAGAGAUGUGGAGGAACACCCGUGGCGAAGGCGGCUCUCUGGCCUGUAACUGACGCUGAGGCGCGAAAGCGUGGGGAGCGAACAGGAUUAGAAACCCUGGUAGUCCA